GACGAACGCUGGCGGCGCGCCUAACACAUGCAAGUCGAACGAGCGAGAGGAGGUUUACUUUCUCAAGCGAGUGGCGAACGGGUGAGUAACGCGUGAGGAACCUGCCUCAAAGAGGGGGACAACAGUUGGAAACGACUGCUAAUACCGCAUAAGCCCACGACCCGGCAUCGGGUAGAGGGAAAAGGAGCACUCCGCUUUGAGAUGGCCUCGCGUCCGAUUAGCUAGUUGGUGAGGUAAUGGCCCACCAAGGCGACGAUCGGUAGCCGGACUGAGAGGUUGAACGGCCACAUUGGGACUGAGACACGGCCCAGACUCCUACGGGAAGCAGCAGUGGGGAAUAUUGCACGAUGGGGGAAACCCUGAUGCAGCGACGCCGCGUGGAGGAAGAAGGUCUUCGGAUUGUAAACUCCUGUUGUUGAGGAAGAUAAUGACGGUACUCAACAAGGAAGUGACGGCUAACUACGUG
rnacentral:rRNA from 1 species